CCCGCUGAAUUUAAGCAUAUUAUUAAGCGGAGGAAAAGAAACUAACCAGGAUUUCCCUAGUAGCGGCGAGCGAACAGGAAUGAGCCCAGCAUCGAAUCUCGCGUUUCCGCCGCAGGGAAAUGUGGUGUUCGGGAGGUUCCGCUUAUCCCGAGGUGCAGCGUCGCGUCCAAGUCAAUCUUGAAUGGGGCCACUUACCCGCAGAGGAUGCCAGGCCCGUAGCGACCGGUGCGCGUCUCGGGAGGAUCUCUCCUCAGAUUCGGGUUACUUGAAAGUGCAGCUCUAAGUGGGUGGUAAACUCCAUCUAAGGCUAAAUACGACCACGAGACCGAUACCGUGAGGGAAAGUUGAAAAGAAAUUUGAAGAGAUAGUUCAAGAUUACGUGAAACGGGUAAACGUCAGAAACCCAAAUGAUCAAACGUGG
rnacentral:ncRNA from 1 species